rnacentral:rRNA from 1 species
GUUGAAAAGCUCGUAGUUGGAAUUCUGUCUAGAGCAACUAGUCCGCUCAUUGGGUGUGCAUUUGGUUCGCUCUUGGCAUUCUUCAGAUUAGCUGUGAUGCACUUGACUGUGUGUCCUGGGGAUCUGAUCAUUUACUUUGAGGAAAUUAAAGUGUUUCACGCAGGCAUACGCCUUGAAUUUGAUAGCAUGGAAUAAUGGUUUAGGACCUUAGUUCUAACUUGUUGGUUCUUAGGAAGAAGGUAAUGGUUAACAGGGAUAAUUGGGGGUAUUCGUAUUUAACUGUCAGAGGUGAAAUUCUUGGAUUUGUUAAAGACGGACAACUGCGAAAGCAUUUGCCAAGGAUAUUUUCAUUGAUCAAGAACGAAAGUUAGGGGAUCGAAGACGAUCAGAUACCGUCCUAGUCUUAACCAUAAACUAUGCCGACUAGAGGUCGGAGGGCGUUGCUUGUCUCGACUCCUUCAGCACCUUCUGACAAAUCAAAGUCUUUGGGUUCCGGGGGGAGUAUGGUCGCAAAGCUGAAACUUAAAGGAAUUGACGGAAGGGCACCACCAGGAGUGGAGCCUGCGGCUUAAUUUGAUUCAACACGGGAAAUCUUACCAGAUCCAGACAUAACAAGGAUUGACAGAUUGACAGCUCUU